AUCAUAAUAGAAAAAAAAUUAAAUAUAUAUAAAUAUUACUUAAGUGUAUUUAAAAUAUUUUUUAUUAUCCUGUUGCUUCACACUAUAAGUACAUACGAAAUUCUCUUAAACAAUAAUUAUAAUCGUACACAAAAUGGAAAAUAUGGAAAAAAUUAUAUUUUAAUAAUAUAAUAUUAAAGAAAAUCAAAUAAUAUCAACGGAAUUGAAACAGCACACAUUUACAUUAUAUAUAAUAUUUACAUAAAAUUUAAUCAAACGUUCGCAUAUAUUAUAUUGGGCCAGAAAAUCACCACUUUCUCAUUAUUAUCAUAAGAAUAAUAAUAAUAAUAAUAAGAAUAAUAAGAAUAACAGUAAUUUUUAACAGUAUACCAAUAAUUUUUAUCAAUUGACUUUAUUUUCUUUUUGAAUAAAUUUCUGGCCAAAUAUGUAAAUAUGUUCUGUCACCAUCAGAACAUACAAGUGUUUCACAUUGGGGUUGAUACCGUGUAAUUUAUGCAAUAUUUAUUACAAUAUUUACAAAUAAUCAAUAUGAAUAUCACAUGAAAAUAAUAAUCCAGUAAAUAAAGAAAAAUAAUAAAAAAAAAAUAAAAUAUGUAUAUAAAGAGAAAUAUGAAAAUUAAAUGAAAUAUUUAAUGACAUUCACAUACAUACAUCUAUAUACAUAUACAAUUUAUAAAAUAUUUUGAUGUCAAUAAAUCGUAACGAUAAAAUAUAUAUUAUAAGGAAACAAAAAAAAACAAAAAAAAUAAUGGCAAAAUGAAAAAAUUACAAUUGAAUUCUCGAUUUAAAAAUAAUUGGGAAAAAAUUAUACAUUUAUAAAAAUUUUAAAUCCCAAAAAAAAAAAAAUAAUAAUUUUAAAUUUAAAUAAAUAAAUAAAAAACGAGAAGGAAUAAAUAAAUAAAUUAUAAAAUAUAAAAAUUAAAAUAAUAUAUAUAUAUAUGUACAUGCAUACUAAUGACUAAUAUUGAGUGCAACAAUUAUAAAAAAUAAAUAAAAUCAUUAUUAUUUAUUAUUAUAAAUUAAAUAAAUAAUUUAAUAUUUUAUUUAUUAAUAAAAAAUAAAAUAAUAAAUUAAAAGCAAAAAAAAAUAUUAAAACAAUUAUAUACCAUUUUUAUAUAUAUAUAUAUAUAUGUACAUAAUUGAAAAAUUAUUAUCAAAUCAAAGUUAAAUAAUAAACAGAA